rnacentral:rRNA from 1 species
AACGAACGCUGGCGGCAUGCCUAACACAUGCAAGUCGAACGAGACCUUCGGGUGUAGUGGCGCACGGGUGCGUAACGCGUGGGAACCUUCCCGCAGGUUCGGAAUAACUCCCCGAGAGGGGUGCUAAUAGCGGACAAUGUCUUCUGACCAAAGAUUUAUGGGCUUUGGAUGGGCUCGCGUUGGAUUAGCUAGUUGGUAGGGUAAAAGCCUACCAAGGCGACGAUCCAUAGCUGGUCUGAGAGGAUGAUCAGCCACACUGGGACUGAGACACGGCCCAGACUCCUACGGGAGGGAGCAGUGGGGAAUAUUGGACAAUGGGCGAAAGACUGAUCCAGCAAUGCCGCGUGAGUCAUGAAGGCCUUAGGGUUGUAAAGCUCUUUUACCCGGGAUGAUAAUGACAGUACCGGGAGAAUAAGCUCCGGCUAACUCCGUG